AGCAUUAUACCGUGAAACUGCGAAUGGCUCAUUAAAUCAGUUAUCGUUUAUUUGAUAAUACCUUACUACUUGGAUAACCGUGGUAAUUCUAGAGCUAAUACAUGCUGAAAAUCCCGACUUCGGAAGGGAUGUGUUUAUUAGAUAAAAAACCAAUGCCCUUCGGGGCUUUUUGGUGAUUCAUGAUAACUUUACGGAUCGCAUAGCCUUGCGCUGGCGACGGUUCAUUCAAAUUUCUGCCCUAUCAACUUUCGAUGGUAAGGUAUUGGCUUACCAUGGUUUCAACGGGUAACGGGGAAUUAGGGUUCGAUUCCGGAGAGGGAGCCUGAGAAACGGCUACCACAUCCAAGGAAGGCAGCAGGCGCGCAAAUUACCCAAUCCCGACACGGGGAGGUAGUGACAAUAAAUACUGAUACAGGGCUCUUUUGGGUCUUGUAAUUGGAAUGAGUACAAUUUAAACCUCUUAACGAGGAACAAUUGGAGGGCAAGUCUGGUGCCAGCAGCCGCGGUAAUUCCAGCUCCAAUAGCGUAUAUUAAAGUUGUUGCAGUUAAAAAGCUCGUAGUUGAAACUUGGGUCUGGCUGGCGGGUCCGCCUCACCGCGUGCACUCGUCCGGCCGGGCCUUCCUUCUGAAGAACCUCAUGCCCUUCACUGGGCGUGUUGGGGAAUCAGGACUUUUACUUUGAAAAAAUUAGAGUGUUCAAAGCAGGCCUUUGCUCGAAUACGUUAGCAUGGAAUAAUAAAAUAGGGCGUGCGUUUCUAUUUUGUUGGUUUCUAGAGACGCCGCAAUGAUUAACAGGAACAGUCGGGGGCAUCAGUAUUCAGUUGUCAGAGGUGAAAUUCUUGGAUUUACUGAAGACUAACUACUGCGAAAGCAUUUGCCAAGGAUGUUUUCAUUAAUCAGUGAACGAAAGUUAGGGGAUCGAAGACGAUCAGAUACCGUCGUAGUCUUAACCGUAAACUAUGCCGACUAGGGAUCGGGCGAUGUUCUUUUUCUGACUCGCUCGGCACCUUACGAGAAAUCAAAGUUUUUGGGUUCUGGGGGGAUUAUGGUCGCAAGGCUGAAACUUAAAGAAAUUGACGGAAGGUCACCACCAGGCGUGGAGCCUGCGGCUUAAUUUGACUCAACACGGGGAAACUCACCAGGUCCAGAUGAAAUAAGGAUUGAC
rnacentral:rRNA from 1 species